UGGCUCAGAGGUUAAAGCGUCUGCCUUCAAUGCAGGAGACCUGGGUUUAAUCCCUG
rnacentral:tRNA from 1 species